CAAUUUCUGAUCGUACCUACUCAAGGGCAUAAGGAUGAGUUCAACGGUGGAUGCUGCUGUAAGGAAAGGCUCUGUUGUCUUAACAAGGACGGAAAGUAUAACCGAAUACA